rnacentral:lncRNA from 1 species
UCAGCUCCAUUCCCCUGCUUCUUUGUGUUUGGGUGCUGGGUCUUGCUUUCUCUGAUGCAUUCAAACACAGCAGUGUUCUUAAGAGGCAAACCCAGCUGGGCUGGGAAUGCUCUGCUCUGCUCUGCUUUUGAGGCCAUGUUAGGGUUUUAAGAUCAAGUCCCCAUUUCAGCCUUAGUGAAUCACAGGAAUUUUCUUCACCGUUUGAGACACCGGCUUCCUCUGGCAGUAAUGAUAUUUUUUCAGUUCUGGUAGCAAUGUGAGAUGGGAAUUAUCCCAAGGGAUAUUGUUGUGCUUUUAGCCAACCUGCCACUUCUCUUGGGCCUAGAUUUCAGUAAAGCAUAAGUGUAGAUGGGAAAGGGGCCACACGUGCAAAACCAUAUUUAAUUACUCCGUUGGCUGUGGCAAUUCCACUUCUCUCAUAAUGUGAUCUCUUCAUAUUUCUUCUAGCAGCUUCUUCAUCAUUUUCAUCAUCAGUGCAUUUUCACACCUUUACAUAAGGAAAUCCAUGGCAUGUUCAUUUGAGAUAUUUUCCUUUCCCCAAGAUCUAGUUUCUUAGUAAUGUCUUGAAACCUGUUCAGUCUAUAUGUUCAGAUGAUGCCAAAAAAUGUUUUGUUUUGGUUUUGUUUUUCCAGCUCCACUGGACUCUAAUCAUAUUAGUUUCCUGUCCCAAACUUCUGCAUCUGCAGAAAUAUCAAAACCAGAGACUGUUACAAGUUCAGCUGACCUGGAAAAAUCUCUGCCUCCACUUUCCAGAACACCUCAUGUGCUAACAACAACUGCGGGUAAUAGUAAUGCUUUAGUUUUUCAGUUAAACCCCUUUUGGUGUUUGGAUAGCCAUUUUUUAAAUUUUAUUAAUCCCAGAUAUUUUGAUCAUCUCCCAUGUUGUCUUGUGUGUGAGUCAUGAUCAUUGAAAGCAUCCUUUUUUUUUACAUGACAAUUUUUCUUUCUGCUGAGAAACUCACCUGGAGUGUUUCUGAUCUCACAUUCAUUUCUCAAAAACCUUCUAGGGCUAUUUUGAGAUAUACUUAAAUGAGGUAAACUUGUUUUAAUACUACUAAACUAGGUUUAAUACUACUACUGACUAGAUAAGAAUUCCAAAAUUACUUGUUUUCCUACAAGCUCAGUUAGAACACAUGUUUUUAUCCUAAGUAUUGUCUUGCCAGCAUAGGAAGCUCCUUUCUUACUAUUU